GUCAUGUAAUGCACGUAAGCUGGUAUCUUUCAUUAACAUUGUUCAAUUGCAAUUGGAUACCGCUGGCACUCGCUGACUUUAAAAUGUUCAACCAACCCGCAACCAGAAAAAAGAGGUGAAUUGAUCUGAAAAAGAAUGCCGUCCAGGAUGCAUCAUUCUCAAAAUAUGGUUGCUAAAAUAUGGACUUAUGAUCUACGGCAGUGAAUGUGAUGAAGAGUAGUGGAAAUGUUUUCUUCUCAAGAUGAACUACAUUCUGACGUCAUGGGAUAAUAAUACAACAGUUCUGUUCGCCCUCUCCGAUCCCUUUGGCUAGGUGAAUUGAUCUGAAAAAGAAUGCCGUCCAGGAUGCAUCAUUCUCAAAAUAUGGUUGCUAAAAUAUGGACUUAUGAUCUACGGCAGUGAAUGUGAUGAAGAGUAGUGGAAAUGUUUUCUUCUCAAGAUGAACUACAUUCUGACGUCAUGGGAUAAUAAUACAACAGUUCUGUUCGCCCUCUCCGAUCCCUUUGGCUAGGUGAAUUGAUCUGAAAAAGAAUGCCGUCCAGGAUGCAUCAUUCUCAAAAUAUGGUUGCUAAAAUAUGGACUUAUGAUCUACGGCAGUGAAUGUGAUGAAGAGUAGUGGAAAUGUUUUCUUCUCAAGAUGAACUACAUUCUGACGUCAUGGGAUAAUAAUACAACAGUUCUGUUCGCCCUCUCCGAUCCCUUUGGCUAGGUGAGUUAGUUUAAUCUGAGUACAGAGUAUUAAAUUGUGGGCGAUUGCACUAUUAAUAAUAAUAAUUCUAUACAGUUUCAUAAUUGAAACAAUUAUGGCCCCUUAUUAUGGGCAGAGUAUGUGUCUUUGUUGAUAUGUCCUGUUAUAAACUUAUCUGAGUGACUGCAUUAAAAUAAU